rnacentral:tRNA from 1 species
GCGCCCGUUGUCUAGGGGCUAUGAUGGCUGCCUGCCACGCAGCCGGCCCGGGUUCGAAAUCGAUUGUGAGUUUCACAUUGCGACGAGGAUCCCGGCGGGCGCACCA